rnacentral:rRNA from 1 species
GACGAACGCUGGCGGCGUGCUUAACACAUGCAAGUCGAACGGUGAAGCUCCAUCUUGUUGUAGUGGAUCAGUGGCGAACGGGUGAGUAACACGUGAGCAACCUGCCCCAGACUCUGGCACAAGCGCUGGAAACGGCGUCUAAUACUGGAUCCGAGAUCAAGCCGCAUGGUCAUGGUCUGGAAAGUUUUUCGGUUUGGGAUGGGCUCGCGGCCUAUCGGCUUGUUGGUGGGGUAGUGGCUCACCAAGGCGACGACGGGUAGCCGGCCCGAGAGGGCGACCGGGCACCAUGGGACUGAGACACGGAGCAGACGCCAACGGGAGGCAGCAGGGGGGAAUAUUGCACAAUGGGGGAGAGCCUGAGACAGCGGCGCCGCGGUAGGGAUGAGGGCCUUCGGGGUAUAAACCUCUUUCAGCAAAGAAGAAGCGAUAGUGACGGUACCGUAAGAAGAAGCACCGGCUAACUACGUG